rnacentral:lncRNA from 1 species
CACCUGUAUGUAUAUAUGUGUGUGUACUUCAGCUAAUUUGAUUUCACUUUAGAUCAGUGGCAUGUAAAUGGCCAUGGCUGAUGCACUAUUUUUGCUGUGUGUUUCAGUGGUGGUGCAUAGCAAAGAGAGUGUUUGGAGUGAAAGACCUCCAGAUGUUGCUGACCAGGACAGCCUAGGGUCCACAAAUGAAGGUCAUGUAGAGUAUACAGAGGUGGUUCAUCCUCAACCUGUAGAUCCUACACGGCUUCCUCUGAAGAAAGGCACAGAUACUGUGUACAGUGAGCUUCAGACCACUCAAGGGGCUGUUGAACAUGUUAACCAUCAAGGCCUGUUAGAAUAUGCUGAACUCAACCAUGAUCUUCCUGAACCAGUGGACUGAUAGAAGUCAGUCAGCAUCCCUCACCUCCCUCUGGACUACUGUGGCCUAUGUACCAUCAAUCUUCUGUGUCCUCCACCAACAUUCUCUUUAAAAAGAACAACAAAAAAACACUGAUUUAAUCAUUAAGUUCCCUUUCCUCAUAUGAUUGAUUGUUUGUCCUAUUUGUCACAGUGCUAUACUAUUUUGUGUAUAGUCGGUACUAAAAACCACAUGCUUUUCACAAGGUUGC